GUAAAACUAAUGACAGGGAAAAUGAUAAAAGACUUAGUAAAGAGAGCCGGCGGUUGGUGCGAGUCGGUCUGAGGUUUUAUCCUAUCCAUCCUGGAGGGUUUGCGAUGAGCAAAACGGUAGCAGCCGUUAUACUGCAUAGAGAGGAUCAUAAAGAUCAAUUUGGGUGGUAACGCGGAAGUCAGCCUUUCGUCCCUUUG
rnacentral:ncRNA from 1 species